UGACGCGGACGCGCAUCAUCGUGCACGCGCAGGUCGCAGGAGCGUUUUCAAAUAGCGAGUUGUAACGGCUCCUUUCCUCCAUUUCAUGACGGCUGUCAUCUCUAACACACGGAAGAACAUCCACAUAAACCCUGAAAUUGUUCAGUAUUCUCUCUCAAACAGCCGUUUGAGUCACCUCAAAUGUAGCAGAGGGCCAGGUUAAAACGGUCCGAUGCACUUCACUUGCAAUGCAGAUCAUCAUUUCUGGACAGC